AUACUGCUGAGGAGUCCCACAAUAGGACGAAAUGGCCGUCCAU
rnacentral:hammerhead_ribozyme from 1 species